rnacentral:ncRNA from 1 species
UUAAUAGUAUAGCAAAAUCAAUGAAAAUUGAUGACGCAAAGCUGAAGGAUCUAAAUUUUUAAAACUGCAAACGCAUUCCUUAUAGGAUUAAAAUUCAAAAUCUAUAUAGGGUAUUUUGAAUCAUAAUACUUGUAAACUGAGAAGGCGUUCCUACAGUCUAAAAAAACAAGAUAGCCAGCUACCUAA